AGAGUUUGAUCAUGGCUCAGAUUGAACGCUGGCGGAAUGCUUUACACAUGCAAGUCGAACGGCAGCACGGGAGCUUGCUCCUGGUGGCGAGUGGCGAACGGGUGAGUAAUAUAUCGGAACGUGCCCAGUCGUGGGGGAUAACUAUCCGAAAGGAUAGCUAAUACCGCAUACGACCUGAGGGUGAAAGCGGGGGACCGCAAGGCCUCGCGCGAUUGGAGCGGCCGAUAUCGGAUUAGCUAGUUGGUGAGGUAAAGGCUCACCAAGGCGACGAUCCGUAGCUGGUCUGAGAGGACGACCAGCCACACUGGAACUGAGACACGGUCCAGACUCCUACGGGAGGCAGCAGUGGGGAAUUUUGGACAAUGGGGGAAACCCUGAUCCAGCCAUGCCGCGUGAGUGAAGAAGGCCUUCGGGUUGUAAAGCUCUUUCAGACGGAAAGAAACGGUCACGGCUAAUACCCGUGACUAAUGACGGUACCGUCAGAAGAAGCACCGGCUAACUACGUGCCAGCAGCCGCGGUAAUACGUAGGGUGCGAGCGUUAAUCGGAAUUACUGGGCGUAAAGCGUGCGCAGGCGGUUUUGUAAGACAGAUGUGAAAUCCCCGGGCUUAACCUGGGAACUGCAUUUGUGACUGCAAGACUAGAGUACGGCAGAGGGGGGUAGAAUUCCACGUGUAGCAGUGAAAUGCGUAGAUAUGUGGAGGAAUACCGAUGGCGAAGGCAGCCCCCUGGGUCGAUACUGACGCUCAUGCACGAAAGCGUGGGGAGCAAACAGGAUUAGAUACCCUAGUAGUCC
rnacentral:rRNA from 1 species